UAAAAUAAAAAAUCAAGUAGAAUAAAACAAGUAUUCAUGUCUAAGAGAACAGCAGAAACAAUUAACUGCAGAAUUAGACCCUCAACAACUGCUGACAUUAGAAUUAUCUGACACAUAUUACAAAAUAAUGUUUAAGGAAAUAAAAGAAGACAGUGGUAGUAUGAAACAGAAGCAUGUAAAAAUGACCAGAUGGGGAAAACCACAAAUGGAAAUUCUAGUAAUCUAAAACAAAAAUUGAAAUGAAAAAGUAGAUGGAUAACUUAACAAAUUGAAUACAACUGGAGAUAAAAAUUAGUGGGCAGACUAAAAAUAGGUCCAAAGAUAUUAUUAGAAUGCAGCAUGAAAACACAGAGAUGGGAAACAUGAAGGAAAAAAUCAGAAGUAAAAGACAGAAUAAGAAUGUCUGCCAUGUCUAAUAAUAUGACUUAAGAAAGAGAGACUAGAAAACUGGUAAAGAAGCAGUAUUUGAAGAGACAAUGGCUAAAAAUUUCCCUGUAUUGAUUCAAGAAGCCCAAUAAAUUUGAAGCAUAAUAAAUAAAAAGAAGUCCACUGUUAGAAGCCUUUUAGUGAAACUGUAAAUGCCCAAAACAAAGAGAUGUUAAUAGCAGACAAAAUGAAAAGCCAUUUCUACAGAAUAGCCACAAAUAAACAGCUAACUUCUCAAUGGAACUCAGAAGACAGUGCAAUGGCAUGUUUGAAUUGUGAAGGAAAAACAAUGUCGACCUAAAGUUAUGUACCCAGAUAAAUUAUUUUCAAGAACACUAGCAAAAUAACGACAUUUUCAGACAGAAUAAAAGUAACAGAAAGAAGUAAAGUCUGUGGGGCAAAAGGGAAUGAUGAGAAAAAAGUAAGGAUGCAGGUAAACCAAAACAAAUAUUAAGCUUACAAAACAAUGGCAACAAUGUCUCAUUUGUGAGAUUUAAAAGGCCAAUGUGUAGGGAUUCCAGUUCUGGUUGAGUAAACGCACUGCACCCUACCUCCUCUAUUGACUGCAACUAAAACCCUGGACAGAAUACAUAAAGAAACUAUUGGAAGACUCAGAAAAGUAAAUAAUAGGAGACAGAUUGGAGAGAGGUGUCAAAACUCAAGGGAAAAUAUGGCAUGGAAGAUGCAGUUACAGGAAGUGUAUGACAAGAAGUGCCUAAGCAAACUAAAACACUGGCUUUCUGUAUGUAAAAGGAGCAAGCUUGAGAAAGGGAUUCCAUAGGCUGCAUAUGAAGUCCCAGGCCCACCGCCGAGAUACCAUACAUGGAAACGAUCCAUAAACACAUACCAAAGACUUCGAGAAUGAAACUGUGGUGUAGAUUCCCCACCAUAGUCUCAGAAUGGCCUGGGGGCAGGGAGUGGGAAGAGAGGAGGAAAGGAAGGGGUGGAAUACAUGCACAGGACAAAUCCAAACACACAAAUAUUUGAAAAUGCAAAUGGCAUUGGAACCACAGCCCACAGAAGCCAUGUUGGGACUUGUCGUCUGAACCUAGUUAGCUCAUUGUCUACCAAAACAGAGAAAUCAACAUUCUUUAAAGGCUUUUAAUAGGGCCCAGAAGCUCAGAAAAAUACUUAAAAUAUCCUGGAUGUUACCAAAAUUACUUGACAUACAAGAAGUAGGAAAAUCUCAACAACCCACAGGCAAAAGACACAAAUGUUGGAAUUAUUAGUCAAAGACUUUAACAUCAUGAUGUUCCAUGAAAUAAAGGUGAACAGUCUUUUUU